rnacentral:tRNA from 1 species
UUAAUUGAAACCAAAGCAGAGGUAUAUCACUGUUAAUGAUAAAAAUGGAAAAUUCCCAAUUAAA